CGAUCUCGGCUCACUGCAAGCUCCGCCUCCCGGAUUCACGCCAUUCUCCUGCCUCAGCCUCCCGAGGAGCUGGGACUACAGGGACCCGCCACCACGCCCGGCUAAUUUUUUUGUAUUUUUAGUAGAGACGGGGUUUCACCGUGUUAGCCAGGAUGGUCUCGAUCUCCUGACCUCCUGAUCCGCCCGCCUCGGCCUCCCAAAGUGCUGGGAUUACAGGCGUGAGCCACCGCGCCCGGCCGGUACUCCGAAGCCCUCAGAUCGGCGACCUGGGCGCUGUAGGCACCGAGAAAAUACAGGCACCGAGCCAGAAGCAGUGCCGCAACCAAGAGACCUCGGCUUGGCGAAAUGGCGGCGUCUGGAGCCUGCGAGUGACGCCAGCUGGUGGGGCUGUCAAGGAGAACAUUCGUUACGGCGCAACCAACGGUACUGUCACCAAGAAACCGUCGUCUCUGAGAAAAAAAGAGACGUUCGGCCGCCGAGAAACUCCGUACAAGUGCUGUGACAGAAAAACCGCCGGCUCCGCGCAGCGGCAAAAGAGCCAACGGGAACGCCGGGUGCUGCGACCAUGACCCCGGCACUGGAGGACGUGGGAUGGAGAAUGGGACACACGGAGCGAGAAGGGAAACGUUUCGUGCAGACCAACUAGCGCCGCCGCCACCGGAAAACUGACUCGCCAGUGCUGCCAAUGAAGUGCGUGUGAGAAACCGAUGACUGGUGGGAGGAGCAGCGCUGGGCGCUGGACCCGCGAGUGUGAGAAUCUGGCGGCGCUAGGACCCUUCAGGCGCGGGCACGAGGCGAAACCCAGCGCUGUUGCCAAAGACAAAUGCGCGUUCUUUUGGGCGCCAUCAGCGGUGCAGCCAGUGAUCACUCCCAGGCUCUGAGAAACUAGAGAUGUCAGCCACAAACCCUCCGUUCAGGGAAAGUUUGCGGCGCCGUGACGGAUCGACUGGCACUGGGUGCAACAUUGUCUUGUGGCCUAGAGACUAGAAUAUAAAAACAAAAACCAAAUACAAAACUGCUGCUGGCAUUACUCCUACUCUCCCCCCUCAAGUCAGUGGCUUCAGGCUUAAGAAAACCUGUAUUUUUCUUGGCUGUGCCAUAAUCCGUAAUUACCGAGGCCCCCAGCGACCCACCCAGUGUGAUUCGCAGAGGGAAAGGAGCUGGAAUAAGGACCGUGAAUGGGGCGGAUGUGGCUCGUCCUGGGAGAGAGCUAAAGCUUAUGCUGGUCGCAAACAGCAUUACAUUGCAGGAAACUGCUCUUCCAAUGGCCGUGGCUGGGUCCUUCCACACCAUCCCUCUGCCCUAGACCUUUGUCCCCGUUCAGAGCCAUCAGAGAUUCUAGGAGAGCUGUCGACAACCGCAUCUCUUCGGAACUUGGAAACUCUAGGUUCAAGAUCUCCGUGGAGAAUGAAAGGCACAGUCGCCUGACCCGGGCAUCAGGCUUGCCCCGCACAUCAAGUCCCUCCCCUACUGGAUGGAACUCUGUGGCAAUCGCUCCUUAUUCUGAUGGUUCACUCUGUCAGAUAUCCUCGAUAUUUGGGGAUAGUAGUUCAAAAACAGCCGGGGAGGAAAAUGGGCUGAAAGAUUCCAGCGUUGGAUGUAGAAUUGACAGCGAGACAUACACCUCCUCUCUAAGCCCAGAGAAAAGCUCAAGUUGUGGUUCUCUGUCUCUAGCAGCAUGAUCUUCAAAAUGCAUCAUUGAUUUCUAUCUUCUGGGAAAUGCAAUGCAGGUGAACUUCUUUUCAUCUUAGCAAAAAAGUUGCAAUCAGCACCCCCUAGACGGAAGGAAUAUCCUGUCUUAAUGGGAGUCCAUAGGAGGCUGCAGGCUGCUCCCCUACAGAGACUAACAUCAAGGAGGAAAUCAGUGGUGCUUCAGGAUAUUGUGAAUUUGGUCUUCUGAAAGCAGAAUUCUGAUUUAACAGUAUAAUGGAAUUCGUGAACGUCAUGAUGCUAAUUUGAACCAACAAGCACCCUUGUGAGAGGAAUCUGCUUUUCCUCAAGUCUGAAGAACACCAGGAGAAUCUUUCUGUAUGGAGUUACCAGGAAUCCUCUGCUAAGGAAAGUGAAAGGGAAGAUGCAAUUUCUCCUGGGAAGGGGGGAUGCUGAUGUAGAGGGUGACAAGUAAUAUGCCAUGAAGGAUUCAGUCACCUGGUUAGAUUUAGAGUUAGAGUUAUGGUUAAGGAAGAAGGAAGGAAAAAAGGCAGAAGAGGAAGAAAGGAAGCAAGAAAAGAUAAAAUUUAUUCUAAGAUAAAAUUUGUGAAUUUUGCUAAACUAUAUAUAUUUAUUUAUUUAUUUAUUUUAUUUAUUUAUUUAUUUUUGCUGUCAUUAGCCAAGAUAAGGAAUCUUCAAGUUGAGUAAGACUGGAUUUAGAAUUGUCUGGGGGCUUUCAAAAGAGCCAUUCAGUAAAUAAGAAAGAAUACAGGCCUGCAGCACCAGAGUCUGAGCUGGGGGCAUAGGUUUGUGUGAAUUUGGGCAUGGUGGCUCAGGUCUGUAAUCCCAGCACUUUGGGAGGCUGAAGUUGAGGACUGCUUGAGCUCAGGAGUCUGAGACCACCCUGGGCAACAUGGGGAGACCCCAUCUCUAC
rnacentral:lncRNA from 1 species